GAUGAACGCUGGCGGCGUGCCUAAUACAUGCAAGUCGAGCGAACAGACGAGAGUGCUUGCACUCUCUGACGUUAGCGGCGGACGGGUGAGUAACACGUGGGUAACCUACCUAUAAGACUGGGAUAACUUCGGGAAACCGGAGCUAAUACCGGAUAAUAUUUAGCUUCGCAUGAAGCAAUAGUGAAAGACGGUUCUGCUGUCACUUAUAGAUGGACCCGCGGUGUAUUAGCUAGUUGGUGAGGUAACGGCUCACCAAGGCAACGAUACAUAGCCGACCUGAGAGGGUGAUCGGCCACACCGGGACUGAGACACGGCCCAGACUCCUACGGGAGGCAGCAGUAGGGAAUCUUCCGCAAAGGACGAAAGUCUGACGGAGCAAUGCCGCGUGAGUGAAGAAGGUUUUCGGAUCGUAAAACUCUGUUGUAAGGGAAGAACAAGUACGUUAGUAACUGAACGUACCUUGACGGUACCUUACCAGAAAGCCACGGCUAACUACGUG
rnacentral:rRNA from 1 species